GCGCGAAGACAAAAGAAAAAGAAGGGAGUCUGUCAGACAGCCAUGAGACCAUCUUAGUAUGCCCGAAGACAAAAGAAAAAGAAGGGAGUGUGUCAGUCAGCCAUAAGACCAUCUUAGUAUGCCCGAAGAAAAAAGAAAAAAAGGGAGUCUGUCAGACAGCCAUGAGACCAACUUAGACCCAAGAUCUCCAGGUCUAAGAACGAUCAUCUACGGCAUCCACAUCAAGGAGCUAUGGAAGGCUGUUAAUCACGCUCUAGUCACAUGGCCAUGCUUCAUCAACCAGACUUGGAUUCCUGUCUUCUUAGAAUUUAAGAAUACGGUGGUACGAGCCUAUAGAACAGAUCCUGUUCAAGUAAGGUCGUGACAUAGGCUGUUGGAAUGGAGAAUAUAAUGCUGUAGCUUUUGUGUUCCGCUUCCGAUGUGGGAGUAGUAU
rnacentral:lncRNA from 1 species